CGUAACAAGGUCUCCGUAGGUGAACCUGCGGAGGGAUCAUUACACAAAUAUGAAGGCGGGCUGGAACCUCUCGGGGUUACAGCCUUGCUGAAUUAUUCACCCUUGUCUUUUGCGUACUUCUUGUUUCCUUGGUGGGUUCGCCCACCACUAGGACAACCAUAAACCUUUUGUAAUUGCAAUCAGCGUCAGUAACAAAUUAAUAAUUACAACUUUCAACAACGGAUCUCUUGGUUCUGGCAUCGAUGAAGAACGCAGCGAAAUGCGAUAAGUAGUGUGAAUUGCAGAAUUCAGUGAAUCAUCGAAUCUUUGGACGCACAUUGCGCCCUUUGGUAUUCCAAAGGGCAUGCCUGUUCGAGCGUCAUUUGUACCCUCAAGCUUUGCUUGGUGUUGGGCGUCUUGUCUCUAGCUUUGCUGGAGACUCGCCUUAAAGUAAUUGGCAGCCGGCCUACUGGUUUCGGAGCGCAGCACAAGUCGCACUCUCUAUCAGCAAAGGUCUAGCAUCCAUUAAGCCUUUUCUUCAACUUUUGACCUCGGAUCAGGUAGGGAUACCCGCUGAACUUAAGCA
rnacentral:rRNA from 1 species